UACAGAGGUGGCAAGCGUUGUUCGGAAUUACUGGGCGUAAAGGGCGCGUAGGCGGUUCGUUAAGUCCUGUGUGAAAUCCCCCGGCUCAACUGGGGGAACUGCACAGGAAACUAGCGGGCUUGAGUUCGGGAGAGGGAAGCGGAAUUCCGGGUGUAGCGGUGAAAUGCGUAGAUAUCCGGAGGAACACCGGUGGCGAAGGCGGCUCCUGGACCGACACUGACGCUGAGGCGCGAAAGCUAGGGGAGCAAACGGG
rnacentral:rRNA from 1 species